ensembl:lncRNA
GCAAGGUGAAUCAGGGUUCCACCUGUCUGGAGGCUUACUUGGAUCUGAUUGGCUGAUUCGUGUUGUGUGGGCGGACUUGAACGGGGGUGAUUGGGAAGCGUGCAUUUGCAGAGCAAGAAGACUUCUUGAAGUAGACUGAUAACAGAUAUCACGCUCAAAAUACUUAUGUAAACUUUCCAUACAUAGACACAUCAGCUUUUAGGCUGUAAUUUAUAUUCAUGGUUUUUCCCCCGGUAUUUUCAUCAUUUUACUACUAUUUGAGAGUUAACUGGAGGAACACUGCUUUUCAAAGAUGUGGUUAUUUUUAUCAAUGUGUGCACUGGUUAAAGCUUUCCAUGCAGACUUUUCGGAAACAGGAUCUGGUGUCUCGGACUCAGAGGGGUUCAACACAUAUCUGAAUCUCUUUACACAAAGAGUGGAUUUACUUGAGCAGCUCUCAGGCUUAGUACCAACCAGCAGGAACGUGACCCUUUAUGAGGAGGACAAAAGAUGUCCAGUGCUGGACAUUGGCCUGUAUUCCACACUCACCAUGCCCUCCCAUGAAGCAUUUGGAUCAAGGUUUGACAUUUAUGUAUGUAUGUAUGUACAGUAUUGUUCAAAAUAAUAGCAGUACAAUGUGACUAACCAGAAUAAUCCAGGUUUUUAGUAUAUUUUUUAUUGCUAUGUGGCAAACAAGUUACCAGUAGGUGCAGUAGAUUCUCAGAAAACAAACAAGACCCAGCAUUCAUGAUAUGCACGCUCGUAAGGCUGUGCAAUUGGGCAAUUAGUUGAAAGGGGUGUGUUCAAAAAAAUAGCAGUGUUGCAUUCAAUCACUGAGGUCAUCAAUUUUGUGAAAAAACAGGUGUGAAUCAGGUGGCCCCUAUUUAAGGAUGAAGCCAGUACUUGUUGAACAUGCAUUUGAAAGCCUAAGGAAAAUGGGUCGUUCAAGACAUUAUUCAGAAGAAACAGCGUACUUUGAUUAAAAAGUUUAUUGGAGAGGGGGAAACCUAUAAAGAGGUGCAAAAAAAUUAUAGGCUGUUCAGCUAAAAUGAUCUCCAAUGCCUUAAAAUGGAGAGCAAAACCAGAGAGACGUGGAAGAAAAUGAAAGACAUCCAUCAAAAUGGAUCAAAGAAUAACCAGAAUGGCAAAGGCUCAGCCAAUGAUCACCUCCAGGAUGAUCAAAGACAGUCUGGAGUUACCUGUAAGUACUGUGACAGUUAGAAGACGUCUGUGUGAAGCUAAUCUAUUUUCAAGAAUCCCCCGCAAAGUCCCUCUGUUAAAAAAAGGCAUGUGCAGAAGAGGUUACAAUUUGCCAAAGAACACAUCAACUGGCCUAAAGAGAAAUGGAGGAACAUUUUGUUGACUGAUGAGAGUAAAAUUGUUCUUUUUGGGUCCAAGGGCCACAGACAGUUUGUGAGACGACCCCCAAACUCUGAAUUCAAGCCACAG